CCGCCAUUAGCUCAUCAGGAAAGAGCGCCAGCCUUCGAAGCUGGUUGCGCGGGGUUCGAGUCCCCGAAGGCGGUCCA
rnacentral:tRNA from 3 species